rnacentral:rRNA from 1 species
CGGCACGGGUGAGUAACACGUAUCCAACCUGCCGUCUACUCUUGGCCAGCCUUCUGAAAGGAAGAUUAAUCCAGGAUGGCAUCAUGAGUUCACAUGUCCGCAUGAUUAAAGGUAUUUUCCGGUAGACGAUGGGGAUGCGUUCCAUUAGAUAGUAGGCGGGGUAACGGCCCACCAAACCUUCGAUGGAUAGGGGUUCUGAGAGGAAGGUCCCCCACAUUGGAACUGAGACACGGUCCAA